rnacentral:lncRNA from 1 species
CAGCUCCGCUGCGCAUUUCCCUCACGCAUAGAUCCGUUGCUAACCGGUGAUAACCUUAGAAGCGAUAAAAGCCUGAGAGCAUCCCACUUCCAGAGUAGUCUGCAGAGAUACCCUGGGAAAGAAAGAGGCACAGCAUGCAGGAGAAAAGAUAAUAAAUCGUCUCACGCUUUCCAGGCAGGUGCCGCAGCCACUAGAUUAUUGAGUAAGAGUAACAGCAUUUGAUCGUAUUUAACAUACAGUAAGAACUCAUUUUGUCCGUAGAUGUAUGUAUUUAUAGACAUAUAAAUGUGUAGUGUAACUCAUGCAUUUUAUAUAAAUGUUACAGACAAUUUUGGAAUGAGUACCUCAGGAGAAAUGGGUUCGCUUGCCUGAUCCUACCCCAUCAGGCUUAAGCUCUGAGGCACUUAGCUUGGUUCAGCUGAGAACAU